UUUAGGUCAGUGCCGGCAUGACUUCAGAUCACUCGUUUCUGUAACUAUAGGCUGUUUACAGUGGGUUUCAUUUGAUGGCAUUGCAAAGCGUAGUAUACGGUGACCUGUUCAUAAGCAGUCAGAGGGGAGCAGGGUAAGGUAGUAUUUCCACUGAGCUGAAUGGAUUUCAGUGUGGAUCUGUUUUCACUUCAGUAAAUACAUCAUCAAAGCCCACAAGCAUGAAUACCAUCUGCUUAUUUCGUAAAUGAUCUCAUGAGUCCAUAUUAUUGUUGUUUAUUAUGCAUUUAAAUAACAACAGUGCCCAAUGGGGUUUAUAAGAUGCUAGAUACCUGGUAGACCCAUGGCACAGACACAGCAUCUAUCCCAAGGAGCUUGCGGUUCACAGGCUACAGAAUACAGGUGACUAAAAUGGAGGGACACUGGUAGAGGACUGGAACACCUGAUUUACAAGUCAGCAUGAAAAAUAUGAUCACAACAAACCAGAUUUUUAACCAUUGCUUUUUUUACUUCAGAGAAGAAUUUGAAGAUGGGAUCUACAGGAAGAUGAGGAGUUGGCCUUGCAAAUCCUUAAAGCAGCUUGUAUGAUGCAUAAGGGAUAAAGAAAGCAGCAGGGUCCUUAAGAGGAGAUCAGCAAAUACUAUACCCUUUGCAGAAGAAAAAUGGGGCUUGCGAUCUGUCACUGAUGCCCUCUAAGGAGGGGCAGGUGUUUAGAAAAGGAGAGUGGGGAGAAGGCAUGAAGAGUUUCCCUACCACAAGUCAUUCAGCAGAAGCCAGAUGGAAUAGCAGUCCUUUCACCUGAAGACCCCAAGUUUUGCACUAUGCCAGUGUAAAGCUACCAAAGAAGCAUGCACUGCAAACUGGGGGAAGGUGGUUGGGAGGAAUAGAUGGUACAUGAUGUUAUCUUUCUUGUUGGCUGCAUAUCUCUAAGGAAGGUCAUGACUUCUUUAGGCCUGCUUUUGUAGUCCCAGAGUUGAUACACCUCUUCAGCUCUCCCAGCAGUACCAACUUACUGUCUCCAUAAAUGUCAGAACUGUGUUUCCAGUGAAGGCUGGUACACCUGUUGUAGAAGAGCAAUCCUAUGAUUUGAGCAGUUGAUUUUUAUGUAUGCUUAUAAUACGUAGCAAAAACUAAAUACAUUACUCCAUUAAAAAUA